AAUGAACGCUGGCGGCGUGCUUAACACAUGCAAGUCGAGCGAGAAAGUCUCUUCGGAGAUUAGUACAGCGGCGGACGGGUGAGUAAUGCGCAGGAACCUACACUUUGGUGAGGAAUACUCUUGAGAAAUCGAGAAUAAUACCGCAUAAGUCCCUACGGGGAGAAAGGCGGCUUUAAUGCUGUCGUCAGAGGAUGGGCUUGCGUGCUAUCAGCUGGUUGGUGGGGUAAAGGCCUACCAAGGCUAUGACGGCUAACCGGCCUGAGAGGGUGUACGGUCACACUGGAACUGAGACACGGUCCAGACUCCUACGGGAGGCAGCAGUGGGGAAUAUUGCGCAAUGGGCGAAAGCCUGACGCAGCGACGCCGCGUGGAGGAUGAAGGUCUUAGGAUUGUAAACUCCUGUUAAGUGGGAAGAAAAGUACUGUCAGUAAUAUGGACAGAUUAUGACGGUACCGCUAAAGAAAGACACCGGCUAACUU
rnacentral:rRNA from 1 species